rnacentral:rRNA from 1 species
UACGUAGGGUCCGAGCGUUGUCCGGAAUUAUUGGGCGUAAAGCGCACGUAGGCGGUUCGUUAAGUCGGAUGUGAAAGCCCUCGGCUCAACUGAGGAAGUGCACCCGAAACUGGCGAGCUUGAGUACGAAAAGAGGAUCGCGGAAUUCCCGGUGUAGAGGUGAAAUUCGUAGAUAUCGGGGAGGAACACCGGGUGGCGAAGGCGGCGAUCUGGGUCGAUACUGACGCUGAGGUGCGAAAGCGUGGGGAGCAAACAGG